UACAGAGGUGCCGAGCGUUAUGCGGAAUCACUGGGCUUAAAGCGUGUGUAGGCGGGCCGUUAAGUAUCUUGUGAAAUCCCCCGGCUCAACCGGGGAAUGGCUGGAUAUACUGGCGGUCUUGAGCAGUCUAGGGGCAGAUGGAACAAGUGGUGGAGCGGUGAAAUGCGUAGAUAUCACUUGGAACGCCAAAGGUGAAAACAGUCUGCUGGGGACUUGCUGACGCUGAGACACGAAAGCCAGGGGAGCGAACGGG
rnacentral:rRNA from 1 species